rnacentral:tRNA from 10 species
GCCCCGAUAGACCAAUCGGCAGAGUCGAUGGCCUCAAAAUCCAUUCAGUGUGGGUUCGAAUCCCACUCGGGGCA